AUAUCAAUAAGCGGAGGAAAAGAAACUAACCAGGAUUCCCCUAGUAACGGCGAGUGAACCGGGAAUAGCUCAGACUGAAAAUCUUCGGAAUUGUAGUCUGGAUGAGCUAAAUCAGUUGUGCUAAGUUUGUAAAGUCUUCUGGAAUGGAGCACCACGGAGGGUGAUGGUCCCGUUCAUACUCACUUAGCAUGGCGUACGAUUAGCUUUAUAAGAGUCGAGUUGCUUGGGAUUGCAGCUCUAAUCGGGUGGUAAAUUCCAUCUAAAGCUAAAUAUUGGUGGGAGACCGAUAGCGCACAAGUA
rnacentral:rRNA from 1 species